rnacentral:rRNA from 1 species
CCUACGGGAGGCAGCAGUGGGGAAUUUUGGACAAUGGGCGCAAGCCUGAUCCAGCAAUGCCGCGUGUGUGAAGAAGGCCUUCGGGUUGUAAAGCACUUUUGUUCGGGAAGAAAAGAUUCGUGCUAAUACCAUGAGUCGAUGACGGUACCGGAAGAAUAAGCACCGGCUAACUACGUGCCAGCAGCCGCGGUAAUACGUAGGGUGCAAGCGUUAAUCGGAAUUACUGGGCGUAAAGCGUGCGCAGGCGGUUAUGUAAGACGGAUGUGAAAUCCCCGGGCUCAACCUGGGAACUGCAUUUGUGACUGCAUGGCUAGAGUGUGUCAGAGGGGGGUAGAAUUCCACGUGUAGCAGUGAAAUGCGUAGAUAUGUGGAGGAAUACCGAUGGCGAAGGCAGCCCCCUGGGAUAACACCGACGCUCAUGCACGAAAGCGUGGGGAGCAAACAGGAUUAGAUACCCUGGUAGUCCACGCCCUAAACGAUGUCUACUAGUUGUUGGGGAAUUAUAUCCUUAGUAACGCAGCUAACGCGUGAAGUAGACCGCCUGGGGAGUACGGUCGCAAGAUUAAAACUCAAAGGAAUUGACGG